UACCCGAUGGUGUAACGGUAGCACAAAGGAUUUUGGUUCCUUUAGUCAUGGUUCGAAUCCAUGUCGGGUAGCCA
rnacentral:tRNA from 1 species